rnacentral:tRNA from 1 species
GGGAUUUUAGUUUAACCAAAAACGUUAAAAUUGCUAAUUAAAAAUAUAGAAAUAAUUCCUAUAAAUUCCA